AGUGAACGCUGGCGGCAGGCCUAACACAUGCAAGUCGAACGGUAACAGGAAGAAGCUUGCUUCUUUGCUGACGAGUGUCGGACGGGGGAGUAAUGUCUGGGAAACUGCCUGAUGGAGGGGGAUAACUACUGGAAACGGUAGCGAAUACCGCAUAACGUCGCAAGACCAAAGAGGGGGACCUUCGGGCCUCUUGCCAUCGGAUGUGCCCAGAUGGGGUUAGCUAGUAGGUGGGGUAACGGCGCACCCAGGCGACGAUCCCUAGCUGGUCUGAGAGGAUGACCAGCCACACUGGAACUGAGACACGGUCCAGACUCCUACGGGAGGCAGCAGUGGGGAAUAUUGCACAAUGGGCGCAAGCCUGAUGCAGCCAUGCCGCGUGGAUGAAGAAGGCCUUCGGGUGGUAAAGUACUUUCAGUGGGGAAGAAGGGAGUAAAGUUAAUACCUUUGCUCAUUGACGUUACCCGAAGAAGAAGCACCGGCUAACUCCGUG
rnacentral:rRNA from 1 species